CUCAAGUCCAGCCUGCCUCCUUCCUCAGAUCUUGGGUUUUAGCCUGUAGCUGGCUCAUCUUUGGCCAAGGUGCUUCUCCAGACCUGGGAUCCCUUUCCUGAAGCCAAGCCACGUCAUGCUCACAGUAAAGCACCAAGACAAAAGUUUUCACAUUUGAUGAAAAUGAAAAGUAGAGACAGCAAUGAGACCUAACGCCAGUGCUCUUCAAAUGACAACAUGCUUCCACAAAAUCCAUAGCAUGUCCAGCCAAACAAGGUGGAUACAGCAUCUCAGAGGAUGAGAGAGACCGAGGACAACACAAAGACAAAAAUGAAGAAAAGAAAUUUCAUAGGAUAACAUGGAGAAAUGCAUUCCAAUGUAGCACUGGACAGUGUCCAGAAGAACAAAGAAAGUGGAAAAAGGAAAGGAAAAUCAAACUGUGGACUUCUUGCCUGCUGGAUGGAUACCAAGAAACCUGACAGUGGGUGCAGGAGAUAUGACAUACAGAGCAAGAUGAGAGGAGUAAAAAAACCAAUUGUCUUCCACAGAGACACCUACAAGUCACAGUAGGUUCUCAGAAGAAUGAACUCCAAAUUCUUCUCUUAACUGUCAUUUUGCUCUAAUGAAACCUGUGACCCUCCUGUCAACCUCCACAAGCGCAAUCUUAUAAAAUGGAAAAUAAUAUAAUAUAAUCUGCUCUGAAAAGGUAAACAUCUAGUAUUAGAAAGUAGCUGACUGUGUGUAAUCAUAGAGGACACAGCCACGAUUCCUCUGUUCUCCCAAAUGCUUUUUAUAUGUUUGUAAACAUAUGAAGCACAUGAAUCAGAGUAUUCAUAUAUGGUGUUCCACUUAAUAAAAAAAUGGCACCAGCUGGCCUUGCACUAUUCCACAUAUGUAUGCCUUUUUACAGCCUUUUGCUUUCAUAUCGAGUAACUUACAAUGAUGAUGCAAGUUGCCCAGUGUUCAUUCUAAGAGCUACAUGCUUUUGAUAAGAAAAUAGGGGCAUGGUGUAGAUAAUUGCAUCUGACAUUUUCAGCAGAUUUAAUAUAUUUACCUUCCUUUUUUGUUUUGUUUUGUUUAAAGAAAACUGAGUCAGAAAGCAGCAGCCCUAGCAAAAAAAAGCAAACAAAAAUUUAAAAAAAUCUAUACUUCCUCGUUCUUGCUCAUUUACCAAUUCUCUUUCACACUGCUGAUUUCUCAUGGGUUUAACAGCAUUUCUGGGCCCUCGACCUCUGAAGUAAAAAUCGGAAGACUUCUGCUUCCUUAGUGAUGCUUUAAUUAGGUUUCGUAAGGGACGUAUUAAUGCAACCAGAAUUCCCUUGCAUAAUUUAUAUUGCUAGUUGCAACCAUGAAGUAAAACCAGCAUGAAAAAAGAAAUUUGACUGCAAAAUAUUGGCUUGGAGUU